rnacentral:rRNA from 1 species
GACGUAGGGCGCGAGCGUUGUCCGGAUUUAUUGGGCGUAAAGAGCUCGUAGGCGGUUUGGCAAGUCGGGUGUGAAAUUUCGAGGCUCAACCUCGAAACGCCACUCGAUACUGCCAUGACUGGAGUCCGGUAGAGGAGUGCGGAAUUCCUGGUGUAGCGGUGAAAUGCGCAGAUAUCAGGAGGAACACCGAUGGCGAAGGCAGGUCUCUGGGCCGAUACUGACGCUGAGGAGCGAAAGCGUGGGGAGCGAACAGG